CCUACGGGGGGCAGCAGUGGGGAAUAUUGGACAAUGGGGGGAACCCUGAUCCAGCCAUGCCGCGUGUGUGAAGAAGGCCCUCGGGUUGUAAAGCACUUUCAGUGAGGAAGAACGCCUGGUGGUUAAUACCCAUCAGGAAAGACAUCACUCACAGAAGAAGCACCGGCUAACUCCGUGCCAGCAGCCGCGGUAAUACGGAGGGUGCGAGCGUUAAUCGGAAUUACUGGGCGUAAAGCGCGCGUAGGUGGCUUGAUAAGCCGGUUGUGAAAGCCCCGGGCUCAACCUGGGAACUGCAUCCGGAACUGUCAAGCUAGAGUGCAGGAGAGGAAGGUAGAAUUCCCGGUGUAGCGGUGAAAUGCGUAGAGAUCGGGAGGAAUACCAGUGGCGAAGGCAGCCUUCUGGACUGACACUGACACUGAGGUGCGAAAGCGUGGGUAGCAAACAGGAUUAGAUACCCCAGUAGUC
rnacentral:rRNA from 1 species